rnacentral:rRNA from 1 species
UUAAAUUGAAGAGUUUGAUCAUGGCUCAGAUUGAACGCUGGCGGCAGGCCUAACACAUGCAAGUCGAGCGGAAACGAGUUAUCAGAACCUUCGGGGGACGAUAACGGCGUCGAGCGGCGGACGGGUG